UAGCUAUGAUAGAGGUUCCUGGAUGCC
rnacentral:piRNA from 1 species